AUGCUGUCCAAACUGUAAGAUGUAAAGCCAUUUUCCUUUCACACCGCAACUGAAAAGUUUCAAAUGGAUACCUUUAGCCACUGGUAAACAACUCAAGCAUUCUAUUUACAAGGUGAGAUUAGAUAUAAAAUAGGCAUAUUUCUCCUAGAAAGUCUGUCCUUCUGAGAUAAUUUUUUUGGCACAAGUAGAUCAUUACACUCUUUUAUAAAGGAACAGAUUUUCACUUCAAAAAAAAAAAAAAAAAAAAAAAAAAAAAAAAAGAACAAGAUUCAUGGCUGUGAGAUUAACAAAGAGCCUUCCCUAUAUUCCCUAUGAUCCUAUCUUCCUGCAAUCCCAAGAGCAGGUGAAACAUUUUAGGAAAAAAAAUGGAGGCACAUAUUUCUCUUUAUCACACUGCAUUACCAACUUUCUGUCAGCAGUGAAGAAAGCUUAGCUUUCAAGACCACAUAUAACUCAGCAUCUACAAAACCACUAAUGUUUUGCUGCCAGACUUCCACUCACCACCCUGCAAUUCAGAAAUUCAGAUGAACUUGGAGAACAUCUAUAGAGACAGAAGUGACCCUCUGAGCUGUGUGUGCUCUCCACCUGCGGUCAUGCUGGCACACUUAAGAUAAAGCAUAUGUAAGGAUAUUGCUGUCCAUACAGCAACCUCCAUUCUGCAGUGCUGUACCUUGCUGAUAAAUCCUACUAGUGCUGUAGCUGACUGAGAGACUGGGAAUAUUAGUACAGUCACAACACUGUAUUAAGAGUCCUGGUGGCCUUACCACAGCAUGACUGAGAACUGAACUUGCUCUUGUAUUUUGGCAGAAGUAUCAUUACUGUGAUGUCUACUACAUUAAUAUAAUUUUUGUUAGCCUCAUCAGAUAUGCCAACAUAAAAAUACAUGCCUGUUCGUGUUCGUGAACCAUAUCGACAACUCCCUCAUUAAUAUCCUUUAACCGUUGGUUAGCCCUGAUGUGGUCGGCAGUUGGACUUGAUGAUCUUUGAAGGUUCUUUUCAGAUGAAUGGUUCUGUUCUGUUCUAUCUCAACACUCACAAAAGAUCCUUGUGAUGACAUCUGUAUAAGCGCUCAGAGGCUGGAAAGUGCAUUUCUUUUUUUUUCCCCCACUUAUAUCACUUUGAUCCAAUAAAAGAUAUCUAGCCCCCAACUAUUAUGGCUACCUCUGUCUACAGACAAUUAAGGUUUGAAUUUUAAGUGUUUAAAAUUCAAGUAGAGCAUUUUGGAUAUAUUUGGACAAUUUGCUUACAUAUUAGUGUAUGUGAGAGUGUACUAAUGGAAAGCCAGAAAAAUAAGGAAAUUCUUCUAUUAAUUCCAAUUGCACUACUAGAGCUAAUGGCGAUAAGUACCUGUGAGAAGAUAAAGAAAAAUACACUAAUAUGAAACCUGAAGGGAAGACUCAAGAAGGAAAAAUACAAUUACUUGGUCCAAAUAUGACCAAGAUA